GACGAACGCUGGCGGCGUGCUUAACACAUGCAAGUCGAACGGAAAGGCCCUGCUUUUGUGGGGUGCUCGAGUGGCGAACGGGUGAGUAACACGUGAGUAACCUGCCCUUGACUUUGGGAUAACUUCAGGAAACUGGGGCUAAUACCGGAUAGGAGCUCCUGCUGCAUGGUGGGGGUUGGAAAGUUUCGGCGGUUGGGGAUGGACUCGCGGCUUAUCAGCUUGUUGGUGGGGUAGUGGCUUACCAAGGCUUUGACGGGUAGCCGGCCUGAGAGGGUGACCGGCGACAUGGGGACUGAGAGACGGCCCAGACUCCUACGGGAGGCAGCAGGGGGGAAUAUUGCACAACGGGAGGAAGCCUGAUGCAGCAACGCCGCGUGCGGGAUGACGGCCUUCGGGUUGUAAACCGCUUUCGCCUGUGACGAAGCGUGAGUGACGGUAAUGGGUAAAGAAGCACCGGCUAACUACGUG
rnacentral:rRNA from 1 species